rnacentral:rRNA from 1 species
UGCAUCGCUGGGCGCAGCCUGAUCCAGCAAUGCCGCGUGAGUGAAGAAGGCCUUCGGGUUGUAAAGCUCUUUUGUCAGGGAAGAAACGGCUCCGGCUAAUAUCUGGGGCUAAUGACGGUACCUGAAGAAUAAGCACCGGCUAACUACGUGCCAGCAGCCGCGGUAAUACGUAGGGUGCAAGCGUUAAUCGGAAUUACUGGGCGUAAAGCGUGCGCAGGCGGUUUUGUAAGUCUGACGUGAAAUCCCCGGGCUCAACCUGGGAAUUGCGUUGGAGACUGCAAGGCUGGAGUCUGGCAGAGGGGGGUAGAAUUCCACGUGUAGCAGUGAAAUGCGUAGAGAUGUGGAGGAACACCGAUGGCGAAGGCAGCCCCCUGGGUCAAGACUGACGCUCAUGCACGAAAGCGUGGGGAGCAAACAGGAUUAGAUACCCUGGUAGUCCACGCCCUAAACGAUGUCUACUAGUUGUCGGGUUUUAAUUAACUUGGUAACGCAGCUAACGCGUGAAGUAGACCGCCUGGGGAGUACGGUCGCAAGAUUAAAACUCAAUGAAAUUUGACGGA